GUGGGGAAUAUUGCACAAUGGGGGAAACCCUGAUGCAGCAACGCCGCGUGAGUGAAGAAGUAUUUCGGUAUGUAAAGCUCUAUCAGCAGGGAAGAAAGUGACGGUACCUGACUAAGAAGCCCCGGCUAACUACGUGCCAGCAGCCGCGGUAAUACGUAGGGGGCAAGCGUUAUCCGGAUUUACUGGGUGUAAAGGGAGCGUAGACGGCACAGCAAGUCUGAAGUGAAAUCCCCGGGCUCAACCCGGGAACUGCUUUGGAAACUGUUGGGCUGGAGUGUUGGAGAGGCAAGCGGAAUUCCUAGUGUAGCGGUGAAAUGCGUAGAUAUUAGGAGGAACACCAGUGGCGAAGGCGGCUUGCUGGACAAUCACUGACGUUGAGGCUCGAAAGCGUGGGGAGCAAACAGGAUUAGAAACCCCAGUAGUCC
rnacentral:rRNA from 1 species